rnacentral:piRNA from 1 species
UGGUGUUGUUCGUUAAAGUGCUGUUUGAUGC